rnacentral:rRNA from 1 species
UCGGGAAUAUUGCGCAAUGGAGGAAACUCUGACGCAGUGACGCCGCGUGCAGGAAGAAGGUUUUCGGAUUGUAAACUGCUUUAGACAGGGAAGAAAAAGACAGUACCUGUAGAAUAAGCUCCGGCUAACUACGUGCCAGCAGCCGCGGUAAUACGUAGGGAGCGAGCGUUAUCCGGAUUUAUUGGGUGUAAAGGGUGCGUAGACGGGAAGAUAAGUUAGUUGUGAAAUCCCUCGGCUCAACUGAGGAACUGCAACUAAAACUGUCAUUCUUGAGUACUGGAGAGGAAGUGAAUUCCUAGUGUAGCGGUGAAAUGCGUAGAUAUUAGGAGGAACACCAGUGGCGAAGGCGACUUUCUGGACAGAAACUGACGUUGAGGCACGAAAGUGUGGGGAGCAAACAGGAUUAGAUACC